rnacentral:rRNA from 1 species
UUUACGGCCAUACCACACCCGAUCUCAUCUGAUCUCAGAAGCUAAGCAGGGUCGGGCCUGGUUAGUACUUGGAUGGGAGAAAGAAAGAAAGAAAGAAAGAA